AAUACCCCCGUCACUUUGCCAAGGGGACUUAUGUCUUCAUUGGUCAUUCAAGUGGGGCAAAGGAAGUGUCCUUUUAAAACUCAUACAAACUUGAGUGUUUGUUUUGUAACCUGUCAGAGGAAACAAAA